rnacentral:sRNA from 1 species
ACACGGGAGAGGAGGUGGUCCAGCAGAUGAGCUACAGCAGGACACGUGAGGUGGCCGUCAGCUAGCACCACGUUCUGCUCCGGCGGGGAGAACCCGUCGGAGAGGCGGUCGUGGAAGCCGGUGUGGUGCCGGCGAGUUCCCGACGGUCACCCGUGAUCCCCGGGUCCGAACGCUGUCCGGUUCGGUCGACGCACUCCCGGUGCGGCCCGGGGAUCACGCAUGUC